rnacentral:misc_RNA from 1 species
AACAAGGCGUACCUGCGGACCUGCGGAAGGAUCAUUACCGAGUUUACAACUCCCAAACCCCUGUGAACAUACCUAUACGUUGCCUCGGCGGAUCAGCCCGCGCCCCGUAAAAAGGGACGGCCCGCCCGAGGACCCCUAAACUCUGUUUUUAGUGGAACUUCUGAGUAAAACAAACAAAUAAAUCAAAACUUUCAGCAAUGGAUCU